UUUUCUUACAAUUAAUUUGUAAGCACGUGAUAUACAUAUUAUCGCUUUAGAAGUGGUCUGUCGGCCACUUCCUCAAAUUUUAUCGGCCAUGAAAAAUGGCAAAAGUUUAAAAACAAAACCAAAUUUGAAAUGGGGAAACCCUAUUAAUUGACAUUGACAACAAUAUUUUCUUUCAUUAAGAUGGGGUUUUUUUUGUGUUUUUACUUGAAAAUAUUUUGACCUUCGCGGUGGGAUGGAAAUGCUAUUAAAGAGCGUGCGAGCGUAAAUCUAUAAUCAGUGAGAAAAACGUUUCCACUUUGCAAACAGUUUCUUAAAAGUGACAAAAAAUGUUGACUCGGUUUAUAUUUUCGUCAGCUCUGAUUUUUCUGGCGGUAAACGCCGCGUCGAAUUCCACAUCGGAAAAGGGUGAUAUUUGCCUGUUGGGACCAUUGACGACAAAGGGAAAACAGUGCCUGGCGUACUUUGAAAUGUUUACGUUCAAUGCGAUAAAAGGCAGGUGCGAGUUGUAUGUCUAUGGAGGAUGCCACGCCUCCAAAAACCUAUUCAAGAGGCCUAUUGAUUGCAAAAACGCCUGCCAACACCUCUUUAAACCUCCGGUUGAUAUCUGCAUGCUAGGGCCCAUGAAGGAGGUUUCUCAAACUUGCAAAGCUAUAGUUCCGAUGUUUACGUUCAACCCGGCCACCGCCAAAUGCGAGAAAUACUCCUAUGGAGGAUGCGACGGUUCUGAGAAUCUAUUUGACACACAGGAAGCGUGUAAAAGUGCCUGCAAACACCUCCACGUCUUGCGGGGAAAUAUAUUAUAAUUUGUGUAUUGAUCAAUCCCAACCAUAGAUGUACCUUUGAUAAGAAUAAAAUUUAUAAAAUAGAGAUCAGUUUCUCUCAAACCUUCAAAAGCACUGAUUAUUAUUCGAUACCUUGUCCUGAGGGUUUUAUAAAAUAUCAGGGUAAGUCUUGAGCGAAGGAAUAUUCAGGCUAUUCGGCAACAGACCGAGGUAGCCUUAACCUGCAGAACCCGCAAGAAAGACCAGGUCAGGCUGGCUUACAAGGCACUCCCUAUCCCCUAGCAGGUGCUAAGUCAGUCCCGAAUAAACCUCGGUACACCCGGAGGACAUUCCAAUCCUCGGUUUGAU